rnacentral:rRNA from 1 species
UGGGGAAUUUUGGACAAUGGGGGAAACCCUGAUCCAGCCAUCCCGCGUGUGCGAUGAAGGCCUUCGGGUUGUAAAGCACUUUUGGCAGGAAAGAAACGUCAUGGGUUGAUACCCCGUGAAACUGACGGUACCUGCAGAAUAAGCACCGGCUAACUACGUGCCAGCAGCCGCGGUAAUACGUAGGGUGCAAGCGUUAAUCGGAAUUACUGGGCGUAAAGCGUGCGCAGGCGGUUCGGAAAGAAAGAUGUGAAAUCCCAGAGCUCAACUUUGGAACUGCAUUUUUAACUACCGGGCUAGAGUGUGUCAGAGGGAGGUGGAAUUCCGCGUGUAGCAGUGAAAUGCGUAGAUAUGCGGAGGAACACCGAUGGCGAAGGCAGCCUCCUGGGAUAACACUGACGCUCAUGCACGAAAGCGUGGGGAGCAAACAGG